rnacentral:rRNA from 1 species
AGAGUUUGAUCCUGGCUCAGAGCGAACGCUGGCGGCAGGCCUAAUACAUGCAAGUCGAGCGCCGUAGCAAUACGGAGCGGCAGACGGGAGAGUAACACGUGGGAACGUACCCUUCAGUUCGGAACAACCCAGGGAAACUUGGGCUAAUACCGGAUACGUCCGUAAGGAGAAAGAUUUAUCGCUGAAGGAUCGGCCCGCGUCUGAUUAGCUUGUUGGUGAGGUAACGGCUCACCAAGGCGACGAUCAGUAGCUGGUCUGAGAGGAUGAUCAGCCUCACUGGGACUGAGACACGGCCCAGACUCCUACGGGAGGCAGCAGUAGGGAGUAUUGGACAAUGGGCGCAAGCCUGAUCCAGCCAUGCCGCGUGGGUGAUGAAGGCCCUAGGGUUGUAAA